UACGUAGGGGGCAAGCGUUGUCCGGAUUUAUUGGGCGUAAAGAGCGUGUAGGCGGCCAAGCAGGUCCGCUGUGAAAACUCGAGGCUCAACCUCGAGAGGUCGGUGGAAACCGUUUGGCUAGAGUCCGGAAGAAGAGAGUGGAAUUCCCGGUGUAGCGGUGAAAUGCGCAGAUAUCGGGAAGAACACCCGUGGCGAAGGCGGCUCUCUGGGACGGUACUGACGCUGAGGCACGAAAGCGUGGGGAGCAAACAGG
rnacentral:rRNA from 1 species